rnacentral:lncRNA from 1 species
CCACUGCACGAUACGUCAAAGCCACGUCACAUUGCCUCAUGCUCAUGGAUUGCACCGCAGGCAGGCGUUCAUCAACAGAUACUAGCUAACACACGUACCUUGGCUUUGAGGUCCUCGAUGAGCUCGUCGCCGGAGGCCGAUGUGUCCUCGGAGGCGGCCUUCACGCGGAGCAGGGACAGCCUCGGCGCAUCUGCAGAGGGAAUCGCCAAAACAAACCAUCAUCAGUGACCGGUGUUCCUCUGAAACUGCUGCCACAAGAAUCUGCUCCGAGAUCGAUGAUGAUACCUUGGAGGCGAAGCUGGCAGGCGGUGCGGCGCGGGAGGAGGGCGGAGCCGCGUGGGACGGCGGGGAGGCGCGCGCCGCCG